CCUACGGGUGGCAGCAGUGGGGAAUAUUGCACAAUGGGCGCAAGCCUGACGCAGCCAUGCCGCGUGUAUGAGGAAGGCCUUCGGGUUGUAAAGUACUUUCAGCGGGGAGGAAGGCGAUAAGGUUAAUAACCUUGUCGAUUGACGUUACCCGCAGAAGAAGCACCGGCUAACUCCGUGCCAGCAGCCGCGGUAAUACGGAGGGUGCAAGCGUUAAUCGGAAUUAUUGGGCGUAAAGCGCACGCAGGCGGUCUGUCAAGUCGGAUGUGAAAUCCCCGGGCUCAACCUGGGAACUGCACUCGAAACUGGCAGGCUAGAGUCUUGUAGAGGGGGGUAGAAUUCCAGGUGUAGCGGUGAAAUGCGUAGAGAUCUGGAGGAAUACCGGUGGCGAAGGCGGCCCCCUGGACAAAGACUGACGCUCAGGUGCGAAAGCGUGGGGAGCAAACAGGAUUAGAUACCCGCGUAGUC
rnacentral:rRNA from 1 species